rnacentral:rRNA from 1 species
CCGACUGCUAUUUGGGUGAGGAUAAGCCAUGCGAGUUGAAUGGGAAACCUAAAGUUCCCAUGGCAAACUGCUCAGUAACACAUGAUCAACUUACCCUAUAGAGAAAAAUAACCUCGGGAAACUGAGGAUAAUGUUUCAUAGUUGAAUUGGCUUGGAAAAGUUUUUCGACGAAAGGGGUAAAAAAAAUGGUUUUUAUCUGCUAUAGGAUAGGAUCGUGUUCGAUUAUGGUUGUUGGUGAGGUAAUGGCUCACCAAGCCGAUAAUCGAUAGGGGCCGUGAGAGCGGGAGCCCCGAGAUGGGUACUGAGACAACGACCCAGGCCUUACGAGGCGCAGCAGGCGCGAAACCUCCGCAAUACACGAAAGUGUGACGGGGUUACCCAAAGUGUUCAAUAGAACUGUGGUAGGUGAGUAAUGUUCCCUACUAGAAAGGAGAGGGCAAGGCUGGUGCCAGCCGCCGCGGUAAAACCAGCUCUUCAAGUGGUCGGGAUAAUUAUUGGGCUUAAAGUGUCCGUAGCCGGUUUAGUAAGUUCCUGGUAAAAUCGGGUAGCUUAACUAUCUAUAUGCUAGGAAUACUACUAUACUAGAGGGCGGGAGAGGUCUGAGGUACUGCAGGGGAAGGGGUGAAAUCUUAUAAUCCUUGUUGGACCACCAGUGGCGAAGGCGUCAGACUGGAACGCGCCUGACGGUGAGGGACGAAAGCCAGGGGAGCGAACCGGAUUAGAUACCCGGGUAGUCCUGGCCGUAAACGAUGCAUACUAGGUGAUGGCACGGCCAUGAGCCGUGUCAGUGCCGUAGGGAAACCGUUAGGUGUGCCGCCUGGGAAGUACGGUCGCAAGGCUAAAACUUAAAGGAAUUGGCGGGGGAGCACCACAAGGGGUGAAGCCUGC